CGUGGGUAACCUGCCCAAGAGAUCGGGAUAACACCUGGAAACAGAUGCUAAUACCGGAUAACAACAGAUGAUGCCUAUCAACUGUUUAAAAGAUGGUUCUGCUAUCACUCUUGGAUGGACCUGCGGUGCAUUAGCUAGUUGGUAGGGUAACGGCCUACCAAGGCGAUGAUGCAUAGCCGAGUUGAGGGACUGAUCGGCCACAUUGGGACUGAGACACGGCCCAAACUCCUACGGGAGGCAGCAGCA
rnacentral:rRNA from 1 species